rnacentral:lncRNA from 1 species
UACCUAUAUCCCAUCAGAGACAUUCUCGACAGCAGAAUACUCUGGAGUUGGUCACGUUCAAUGAUGAUGUACCCUUACAUCUCACCUGUAUGCCAUACCAGGAUCUCCACACUCCUUGGUUAAGAGGACAACCAACCCAUAUGGCCUACAGCGACCUAUGCUCGAUAGAAGCUGUCGUCCUUAUUAACAGCUUAUCAUUUGGUCGUGAAUAGUUUUAAGGACUAAUCGAUA